GUGUGAAACUGAAUCAGAAAAUACCCGAUGUAAAAAAACACCGGGUUCUGAUGAUCUGAUCUGCGGUUAUUUUUGCAGCAAAGGAGUCGAAGUAAAUUCAGUGAGAACGAGAUUGAGAAGAUUGCUUGAAAGCUUAUCACUGACAGGUUAACCAUAAUUUUUUUUGGGUGCAAGGUCAUUACUUAUAAUGCCUUAAUUGGGAGUAGAAAGAGAAGACGGUAAAUAAAAGUUGAAGGUAUACUGUCUCCUGAGCGACCCAAUUAGGUUUUAACGGAGGCCCGUAAAUAUCGGGCCGAAACUAGCUGUCACACUCCGGCCCAAUUAGAAUGGAGCAGUUGAAGCCUCGCGGGCCUGCGGCCUCGGCCUGACAGCAACUUGGAAGGAAUAAGUCUAUUAUUUUCCCUCACUCUUGCUCCUGAUUUAAUCGCCUUACUCAGCCACAAAACCAGAUAUAAAGCCUCCCCCAUCUUCGAAAAUCAGGGCAAAUCAACUCACGUGAUGGUGUUGAAAACGGUGGCAAUUUAAUCAUGGUCGACUCGAUGAGUCAGCAUGUGGGAUCGACGUGUCAGUGAGUUCCUCUUCAUCUCGUCUUCUUCCUCACCUCUCCCCUUUCUCUUUCAGCCUCCCUCCCUUUUAGUGGCUCCAUUAGUUCACCGAGAAGGAAGGGGAGGCUACACCUUGAUCCGGCUAUGCAACAUGUUGGACCAGCGCCGCUGCGCAUGCCUCAAAAGGCCGUCGCGGCCAUUAGGACGGAGCCGCAGCAUCCGGCAGCCAACGGGUACAACUACUUCUCCCUCCUAGCGGUGACCAACCACAGGUCCUACGUUGGGUUCCUGAACCAGACCGCCAUUGCAGACCAGGUGGUAUGGAGGUUCUGCAAGGCGCGGAGGCGGCGAGCACGCCAAGCGGUGUGCUGUGGCUGUGGCGUGGAUGUGACAUUGUCUAGGGCAGCAACAAUAGUACGUGGAUCCGGUGGACGACCUGUUCUACUAUCUAGGGAUGCAAGCGAACCAACCCGCGAACCCACUUAUAUGUCAAAUAAGUGAUAACCCGCGGGUUUUCGCGUUGUGCCUCGGGUUGACGCACAGAGAGGGGAGAGGUGAGAGGUGAGGAAGAAGAUGAGAUGAAGAGAAAGUUGUUGACAUGUGGGUUUUAUGUGGUAAAACCAUCACGUCAGUUGAAACCGCUUUCAACAGGAGCUGAUUUGUAUCUGUUUUUAAAGAAGGAAGAGGCAUUAUACUUUUUGCAGUUGAGGUCGGUGUUUAAAUAAGGGGAAAAAAUUAGGGAGUCAUAAUAGACUUAAAUUCCCAACUGAAACAGCCGCUAGGCCUGACGGAAAUAAGGCCUGAUGGGCCUAUAAAAGCCCAGGAUUCCAGGCUUCCAGUCUCCUCGGCUUCCAGCCUCCUGGUCCAGCGCGGGCGGCCUCACCCCGCUCCGCUGUGCCGCCAAAAUUUUCCCACCCAAGUGUGGGGAUCGGAGGCUUGCGAAGGGGCGGAGGCGGAGGCGGAGGAGGCGGUGGAGACUCGAGACCCGGAUCCUAGGGUUUCCUCGAUCCGACGCAUUUGCUCGAGCCGAAUUCCUCUCCUGCGCGCGCGUCAGAGGUGUUAGGUACCGAUUGAAACUGAGCUGUUACAGCAAGUGUACUUCAAGAUGUCUCUAAUGAUGUGCUGUGGCCGUACGGGACAUCAUAUUAACAAGCUAUACUAAUCAUUGAACACGGCUGAUAAGAUGGCCAUGAGCAUCCGAAUGGAAAAGGCAAUGACGACAUCUUGCUGGAACAAUGUGUGGUGUCAAUGAUGGGAGAGGUACAACAAUCAGGUUUGUAAGUGAAGUCAUCUGGAGGUCUGGACACGAGAAAGUGACAUCCGAGCAAAAGAUUGAUCAGACGGGUCAGGAGCUUUGACACGUAAUUAUAUAUUAACCAUUUCACAUUCUGAAGGACCUCUCUGAAAGUAACUUGGAAUGGAAGUAGGAUGGCCGGAUGCAUGCGGAAGCUGCUGCUGCUGCCGCUGCACACAACUACACAAGCACCAGGUCGAUGGAGGCUGCACAAUGUACUGGCCACGUUCUUGCACGUGGCCCGUGGCCGCUCCAAGCUUCUGGCUUGCAUACAUGGGGCCUCACUGGACGAGCUUAAAACACGGGAUCUUCGCACACACAGUCCGGAGCUCGUAGGAAGGAUCGGAGCUAACUACUCGAGGUCUCGAUGACUGUAAGUAUACUGUACUUCUGAUAUAUCUGAUGCUAUUAGCACAACGACGAUGUACUAGGUAGUACUAAACAGAUGAAUUUCUGAUAUGAUAUCUGAGGUUAGGAGAUAUCUCUAGCUAUAUAGAAUAUAGAGUGGCCACAUCGAUGCACAGUUCCAUCACAUUACUUUUCCCAGAAUCUUUCCAUCUUAGUGAAAAGAAGUUAAGGACCUCGACCGCUCAACGCAUGGAACUAACACACAACUGCUGUAGACUGUAGCUCUCUCGUACGUCCCGUCCACUGUCCUGUUGCUGUUCAUGAGACGCCUUGUACUGCAAACGCUGCU